UGAUAUUUCUCUGAUGUAGUUCAACAAUAUGAUUCUGUUAUAGGUACACUGUUAAUUUGGUGGUGUACUUCAUUGACCACAAGUUGCCAGAAUUACCUGACCGCAGUGCGUCAUUUUUGCUACCGCUGAGCAAGGAUGGACGGACAAAAGAAGAGAAUCACAAGCUCUUAAAUGGAAACUCUGGGGAUCCUAUAGAUCGGAGGCUGAGAACUCCAGUAAAUGGUAAAUUUCUCGAAGAUGGCAACACAGUCCAUGUCGAUACAGUGAUGAAUGGGGUGUAGCUUGUUGAUGCUGGUGCUAGGAAUGCUUUACCUUCAAUAUCA